AUUUUGUUUUAUUCCGUAUUCAACUGUUCGUGGAUAAAGUAGCACAUCUACAUUGAGUGGAGCCAUGAAACAAGGUUUGUUCUUGUUGUUGUUAGUCACACUGUUGUCCAUGUUUCGAUUUGGUAGUACCGUUGGAAAAAGUGGAGGUUUCUGUGACUAUCCGCCCUGUGCCAUUCCAUUCAAUAUGCCAUAUGACGUAGCGUACAAUUACAUCAGGGGCCAGUCGUAACGAAAAAUAAUUAUCAAAUUUUAUUAAUUGUUACUUAAAUGAGAAGAAUAAAGUACAUAGGGAUGGUACACAAAUUA